CAGAGGCGACUUUCAAAACAGCGUUCUAGUGCUGAAAUAAACCCGAUUACAAUAUAUUCCAGUGUGUUUAUUGUGUGCAUUUCGAUAUCGGUAGCAUCGUCGAUUAGUGUAGUGUGAAUGCAUUUGAUAGUAAGUGCCCUAAGAAGCUGUUGAUAUUGCAGGCUUUGUGUGGUUUCCCCCCUGAGAAGCGAGGGAAUUAGGAAACAGUUUUCGGUGGCUUCCCUGGCAAAGCCUAGAUUAGGAUAUCACAUUGCAGAGGCACUAGCGAGUACAAUCGGUUUUAAAAUAGGAACGAUACAAAACGUAACAUAAAUUGCACACAAAAAGUGAGAAAAGUGAAGUUUAAUUAGCAGACAUCACACGGCUGGACUGCGCUAGAGUUAUAGCGGGUGGAAAAUCUGCCACCCCCUGAUUGAUAGUAGUGGUGUUGAAAAGGCUAGUUCACUAGAACGUGCGGGGAUAUUAGUGUUAGUGCAAUCCCUAUCGCGCUGCCAAUCAACAGGAGAAUCCCGUGCAAGACUUUUCGAUCCUUGCAAGCUUUUGCGUGUUCGAGCGAUAUCGCCAUAUUGCCUGGUUGACAGAUGGUUGUAAACAUAAACAAUCUGCGAGUUCCACUAAUAAAAAACUAAUCCGCGGUGAAAUAGUGCUUGCUUACGCGGUUGAUUCAAACUAAGCAAAAACGUUUCUGCAAUCGGCCACUUGUUGUGUUCCCCUGACAUACGGUUUCGCCAUUCUCUCAUUCCACACUCCCGUGAAGGGUUUUCCAACUGAAGCGGAGGCUCGGAAAAUACUGACAUUCUUUCACUCACCUGUCCGUCACUGUUUGCGUGUGUAUAGCGCUGCAAGGGAAAAUAACAAGCACCGAGCAAUCGGCUAACAAGGGGGAAACUUCCUGCGCAAGCUUUGCAACUGUAUUGGUGAGCGUGCGGAAAAGCGGAAACCUUUUGACACAAGCAACAAGCGGCGACAUUUUGCCCCCAUCCCCUCCCGUUCCGUCGAAUCAGUCCACGGUUGUUAUCGAAAUAGGCCCUAAUCUGAGAUCGUGUCGUGUUUUAUUAUCCCAGUAGGCUCUGCACAAUUUCCAUACCCGUCUGGUGAAAACAAUUAAAAGCAACUUAUCGCCGCAAUCGAAGUGUGUUCAAGAAGCCAAGUGCACUGUGGAAUUGUUGGAUACUCAGCGCAAUUGUGUUUAGGAAGCGAAAAUUCGCAUUCCUUUCUGGAAGUUAUUCUCUUUAUCUUCCCGUGAAUUCCAAGUGAAUUAGUGUUGGUGCAAGUUCAAGGAAAUCAGCGAUAAGAAACGCGCAACAACCAGCUUUUUAGUAAGUUUUCUUGCGAUACAACGGGGUAGCUGAAAAGCAGCGUACAGUAUAAGAAGUUCUGCGAAAAGUCACCCUUUUCCUGCCGAGGACAAAACAGCCCGUGCGCGGUUGUCUGUAUAGUUUGAAUAAACACUCGCACUAAAGUUAUUCUUUCAUAUACUGUUAAGAGCAGCAGUCAUCACCACCACCGAUCGAGGCCGUGUCGCCGUCAGUUUUGAGUAGUGUGCCUUCGGAAUCACAACCCGAAACCCCUCAAUCGGCUAUUAUCCAGUUUGUUCCUCCCUAUCACAAAUAAUUUUUAUCAGUGUCGAUCGCGUCGAGUUGCUCGGCGCAGAAUAAAGUUUCGAGAAACAACUUCCGUGCGAUCGAUCGUCCGUGUCCGUGCAAUUCCCCUCCGUCUUUGUCUUCAAUCAAAAGUAGCGCGCGUCCGGUCCGCACGUUUUCCCUUUCCGUAACUGGUAGCGCAGUGCACCGUGUGGUGAAUUCCCGUUUCCCCCUCACUAAUUUGUUGAAAACAAAAGUCGAACCAUCAUAAUCGACGCCAAAAAAGCAAAAGGGAGAGAAAGAAAGAGAGAGUAUUUCGUUCGCGUUGAAACAAUCAUUCAUUGAAAGGAAAAGUGUCUUCCCUGUUUUGUGUAACCACCGCGGUAACAAUCCGACAAGUGAUCUGUUAGUUAAGUUUGAAGCAAAACAAGUUUAUUUUACAACUUAAAGUAAGAAUAAACAAGAAGUGUUACAUAGUUGAAAAAAGUUUGCGUUUAACAAUCAUAAGAAGCGUUGAAUCAAUCAAAAAAGUUUAAUCAAAAGAAGGAAAAAGUUUUAAAGGUGUGAUAUUUUUCAAGUUCAAAUCUUUACUCGAAAACAAGUGAUCUACAAUCAGGAAAGCAACUCUAGGCGCGUUCCAAUCGAAGGAAAGCGAAAGAAAACCCACGUGCAAUCUCGAGAUCAAAGUUAGCCCUUACUAGACUAGAUUAGUCUUACACACGCGCAGCAGAGAAAAAGAAAGAACACGUCUUUAGAGCGGAACUAUCCUGAAUCUUCCUUCCGUCUAAGACGCGCACGCAUUUAUUUGUUCCGGCAGCGACAGCACAUAUAUGUGCAAUUUUUCUUAAACU